rnacentral:rRNA from 1 species
AUCUACGACCAAAGAACAAGGAAAAUUGGGUAUCCCGUCCGCUCUGCCUUACACAAGCCUUGUAUCGAUCCAUUAGUAGUGCCGUCGGUGACGAGGCGCGAAUCCGGGUUGUUGUAGAUU